CUUGAGAUUUACGAUUCAUUCUCAUCUUCUUUGGUAUAUGAAAAAUGAUUGAAUUAGUAAAUGAUGAUGAAGUUGAAAUACCAGAUUUCACAUCUGAAUCUCCAGGUUGUUCUGUUCAUCCAUGUGGUUCUUCUUGUAAUGUUUAUUUUUUGUUUUAUAAUGAUGAUAUGAGGUUUCUUUGUUUAUGGAACCCAUCCAUUAAAGAAUACAAUCAACAUACGAGACAAAUCAAUCGGCUAUUCACAAGUCUAAAUGCGUUUUUAGUCCAAUCAAACCGAACCAAAUAUAGCAAAAAUGAAAUUGGGUCCUGAAAAAGCAUGACUUCUGUCAUAAUCACAACAAGUUAAAUGUUGAAAUCAUGAAGAGACUAGAUGAUCUAUGGAAUGAAGAUAGGAUGUCAGUAUCUUGUGGCAGGGAAAAUUUUGACAAAGUGUCAAGGAUAUAUACAGAAUGGCAUUGAAGAUUAAUUCAAUUUGGGUUGUGGUAUCUAAAGAUAUUCAAAACCAGAUUGGAAAGAUGUUGGGAUGUGUUUGUUUAACCAAAGGCUCCCUUAUUCCUCUGGUAUCUGGAGCAUUAUACGCGUUAGUGUUUGGAUUUGUCUGUGGACCUUGAGAAGAAGAAAGUGAGUGCACUAAACUCCAGGGUAAACUAGCGGAGAUAGAAACUUGGAAGAGUACUGCUGCGAAAGAUGUGGAUGCAACUGAAUAUUGGAGGAAGAAGUUUUCCGGUUUCGAGAGUCGAGUUCUGAGGAUGGAAAAUGAAAAUUCAACAAUGAGAUGUGUUGGUUCGAAUUUGGAGAGCAUAGUCCUGAGGAGUGGAAAGGAAAGUUCAAUAUUGGGAUGUGUAGAAUUGCAUAAUUCUGAAAAGAUAGAAUCCGAAGCGCGGGGUUUGCAGAAUGAAGUUACUCAAAGUGGUGAAAAGCAAAGACAUAAAAAUAACAGGAGCAAACUUAAUGCUGAAACCAGUAGCUGAAAGAGGACGGAUUCUCCUGUGUAUGAUGUUGGAAUCAAUAAACAUCAUGAAUCCGAGUCUGGAUUUCCCAGAUACUAUGCUGUGAAUGUUUCUUCUCGAUUUCUACAUUUAUAUCUUGAUAUGCUUUCUUCAUUUGAAGAGGAAAAACAUUGAAAUUCUAUUGUUGCAUUCUGAUCUAGUAGUGAAAACAACUUCUUCUUUUUUAAGGUAAAAAUAGUAGAAGAAGAAGUUGUAUUCACUAUUCGAUGAGAAUGCGUGUGUGGGAUAAUGAAACCUGGUAAGGAAAUUGAUCAGUUGACUGUUUUAAUUUGAAUGAAGCUUGGAGUUUGGUUCAGCAAAAGGUCGUUCAAGAAGCUUUAAGUUGGCAUCAAGAUACAACUGAGGUUUGCCUAAAUUGUCAUGAAAAGAAUGUUGCAUCAAGCUUUUAUCAAUAUUGGUUGAACUGUUGGUAGUACAAAGAUUAUGAAAGUGGCAACACAAGUCUUUUCAGAUGGCGUCAUUGCGACAAGAGAAGCUUGAUAAGAUUGCGGACUGCUUUCAGAUGAAAGGACAAGAGAAGCUUGCUAAGGUACACAUAUAACUUGGCGUGGUUGGCCCAUGACCAAAAUCACAGUCUCUCAUGGGUGGAAGAAUUGGAAGCAGUAGAAACACCCACGAUUUAAGGGGUAAAAAAUGCGUAUUCUCUUAGCAUCCAGAAUAGCAUAAAGGCAAACUAUUUAUGUUUGAAUUACAAGUUAUAAGUUUUAUAAACCCAAAUGUGCUAAAUUAAGGCAAACUAUUUAUGUUCAGAAAAUACAUCGUCAUGACAUAAUAUGUGAAGAUAAUAUAAACGAAGGCGCAUAAGUAUAACAUGAAUGCCUAAAUGCCUUGUGGAAAAAAAUGGAUUACCCUAUAAGAGGUAGAAUUGCAUUUAGAGAUGUUAUGAUUUGUUACUCACAUAAACAAUAUCACUGGAUAGAUGCAUUAUAAUUACAACAUCCUUAAAUUCAAAUAUUAUGUUUAACACGAGUGUAAACUUAUUAGACAAAGUCAGCUUUCACUCUAUUUUUCUAGGCCAAUUUGCAAUUAUGAAUUUUGGGGUUAGCACUGCCCAAGCCUCAUGUUCAUUUGGAAGAUGUAUUUGUUAUUUCAUCUUGUUCUACCUAUUUGUGUCAGUUUCCAUUCUUUAGGAUUUCUUCAACAACUCCUCAAAAAGUACACGAUUUGAUUGGAAAUCCUAGUUUG